rnacentral:lncRNA from 1 species
AACCUUGGGCACAGAAUGUUUGAAUGGGUGCCAUGACAACAAUAAAUUGUAUAGAAAAUUUCCACUCAGAGUUCACAGCUAAACCUAGGGUCUCUUUUGGUCACACACACAGAUAAAGGUGGUUCCAGAUGUCCCGACACACUUCCUUUCUUGGAGUGUUGAUAAACUUCAAGGUGUCCACUGUGUUUAUUCUGAUUUGGGAUUAUUUUCUCUCACAUGUGUUUUGUGCUUUGUUUUUUGUGUGUUGACUUGCUUUAAAAGGACUGUUGUCUCAUGCCCCUAAUUUAGGGCAUAUUUAGGGCACAGUUUAGAUCAUAGAGUUGGAAGUUGGGGGUAGGAUUAUUUGCUGGAUAAGACUAUAUUUGAGAGGCUCCAGAGUCACUCAGCUCUGGUCACUUCCCUUCAGCCUCUCACACCUGCAGAGUUGGUAUGUGUGAUUAAGCUCACGAUGGCCAUUUGAUUUGAAGACCAGAGUUCAAGUUUAGAAUUUUUUUUUUGGGGGGGGUCUAGUGGGCAGUUAAAUUUCUCAGAUUUGCUUCAAAGUGUAAGCCUUUUCAUCAAUGGAUGGGUCUACCCUGAGGGAUCAGGAUGUCACUGGCAGUUACCUGAAGAACAGUUUUGUGUUUGAUGUCUUUGCCCCUUCCUAGUGCAUUGCUAUAAAUGUGUAGCCGAACACCAUAUACCUUUGAGGGGAGAUUCCUAGAGGAUUUUUUUUCUCCAUUUUUUAUAAUUACAAAGCUUUUCCUCGAUCCUAUCAACCAUGGACUCUGGCUCAUCCAUCCAUCCAUCCAUCCACUUACGUGUUUUGGAGGUAGGGUUUUCCUCUGUAGUCCUGCUAUUCUGGAGCUCUCUGUGAGACCAUGCUGGCCUUGAACUCACAGGUGGGGGAUUUGCUUAUUAAUAUUUGCUAUUAGUAUUUGCUUUGUCAGAUACUGAAAUCCUUGAUUAACUAAUUAGCUGUUAUUUUAUUGUUAAUUGGUGACCACCAUUGUCAGUGGUGGGCUGCAUUAUGUAAUUGGUAAGCCAGCCCUACAUGGUAGUUAUAUGAAUUGGCACAACUUUAAUAAUUUAACUUCCAUCCCUUUAAGCCACUCAGGACAUCACUUAACCUUCCCUAUCUAGAAAUAUUCCAGUGUGUCUAAACUAUAAGAAAACAUCCUCUUAAACUGUGAGUUUUCAUUUCAUAAGACUAAAAGCAGGGUCAUUUUUAGCUGAAUUAGAUAUGUAGGAUUUAAACAGUAACCUGGCUAGCUUUUUCUGACCUUCGUAUCUGCUAAUCCUAAAAGCUAACUUUAACAAAGCAACUGGAUAACUUGAAUGAAUUGAUCUCAAAUAUUUUAUAGGCUCUUUCUUCACAGUAGUUAAAUUUGAAGAGUUCAAGCUAUGCCAGUUUUAAGUGUUUAAUAAUGUGUAAGUAUGUCAUUUUCACAUAAUAAUCUUUUUUGACCCAGGCCUUGUUUUAGAUCUGAAUAGCUUACCUUUGACCUUAAGAUCACUAAUACAAGGAAAAUUACCAUCUCACAAGAGCAUGGUCCUUCUCCUUCUGAUGUAUGGACUAAGAAUAUUUCCAAGGCUUAGGAGAGGGCCUAAUCUGAGAGAAUAGCUAUUAAACACUACUUUAUAAAUGUUAAAAAAAAGGACUGACAACCAAAUCAUGCUAAUCAUACUGAUUUUCUUGUUAAACAGAACUAGUUUUAGACUGCUUUUGAACAUUUUCUGUCUCAAUUAGUACUGAAAUUCAAGUUGGGUGUUAUCUGGAUUUCUUGUUAAAUUCACUUUAGUUUAAUGGCAGAGUUGGACUCCUAACAAAUUCACAAUUCCCUCCUUCCAAUUCAGAAUAAUCAAACAAACACACACACACUCAGUUUCUCCCUCUUUCAUGGAAAACUGCAUGAUUACAGCAAGCUCUGAGUAUAGAGAAACACAAGCACGCCUUUAACGUAACAGGAGAGAUUAGCAGCCGGCUGUGCAGCUCAUGGCCAGUUGAGGCAAGGACCACUGGCUGUUGGGACUUUUUGAUCUAGACUUAAAAGUUAUUUGUUCUGUUUUCGCAUUUUAAAAAAUAGUUCGAUUAGGAAUUGCACGUGCUUCUUUGGUUUUAGUUUUAACUCAGGGCUAGAGAUCAUAAAACACCCUGGGAUGCGUGCAAGAAGGGCGUGAGAGACAUACAAAUGUGCAGUGUUAUUUUGGGGUGCUGGAAUGUCAUCGUGGCCGGGUCACAAGGUUGCAGAAUCCCUCCUUGGAUGUACAGGAGGAGGCCCAUUGCUUUUUGUGCUUGCUUGCGCUCAUUCAUACUCUCUUUCUCUCUCUCAUUCUUCGAGAUUUUGUUCUCUCUAAUCUUUUUCAUUAGAAAAUAUUCUAUCAUUUUGUAUUUUUUUUUCCUUAUAGAAAUGCUGAUCUAAUUUACUAGUUUACUCCCGGGGUUAAAGACGCAAAGCAAAUGAUACCUUAGCCGUCACUGCUGAAAGACUUCACCGCCUCUGCUGGUUGAGAUCUCAUCCUUAUCUGUGCACUAUGGCUUGGCACCAUUGACUGUCCCACACUUGUCACAUUAUCUGCUGAUUGUUCUAAAACUGUCAAAAAUGUGGGGCCAGACUGAAAGUUAAGGGCUCUGUGACACACAGGGACCUGCCUGUGUAUCAAUGCCCGGGUUUCAUUUGCUUUUUAAUUGUGCUCAUAUUUUUCUUUUUUUUUUUUUCUUAUUUUUUAGAAUCAUGCUUUCAUCAGCUACUUUUUUCCCCUGUCUUUUUACAUACGUGUUUCUGUGUCACUGCCUGUCCCCAUCACUUUAGGGAGCUAGCUCAAGCAUCAUGACUGUCAGAAUUGUGAGCAGCUGACUCUCCAGGCUCUGAUUUCCUCCUCUGUACAAGGACCAGUGGUACUAAUGAGUUAGUGCCUCUCAGCCCCUAAAACCAUUAAGAGUAAUUAAUUCUCAGUUUCUCAGUUCAAAAGUGGACAGUAACUCGAGUUGUUUGUCUAAAUGAGAGGCUUGAAAUCACAUUCAUGUGUGCUAUAUGGUGCUUGUAGGCGGGCGGUGGCAGCCGCCUUUAAUCUCAGCACCUGGGAGGCAGAGCCAGCCUGAUCUCUGAGUUCGAGGCCAGCCUGGUCUACAGAGCUAGUUCCAGGACAGUCAGGGUUACACAGAGAAACCCUGUCAGAAAGAAAGAAAGAAAG